GACGGAAAGGUGGGUACUAAGUU
rnacentral:siRNA from 1 species